rnacentral:pre_miRNA from 1 species
UCCCUCAAAGGCUUCCAGUAUUUCAGCCAAUUAUUACCAUACAUACAUAUGAAGUAAUGAAAAUGUGUAUGGAAAUAUUGGAGGACUUUGGGGGAGC